GCGACGAAUCUUCCGCAAUGGGCGCAAGCCUGACGGAGCGACGCCGCGUGUGGGAUGAAGCGCCUUCGGCGUGUAAACCACUGUCAGGGGGCAGAACCAACGAUCGCCCCCAGAGGAAGAGACGACUAACUCUGUGCCAGCAGUCGCGGUAAUACAGAGGUCUCGAGCGUUAAUCGGAAUCACUGGGCUUAAAGGGUGCGUAGGCGGGCCCACAAGCAUCUCGUGAAAUCCCCCGGCUCAACCGGGGAAUGGCGGGGUGGACUGUGGGUCUUGAGGCAUGUAGGGGCGGGCGGAACUGUAGGUGGAGCGGUGAAAUGCGUAGAUAUCUACAGGAACGCCGAUGGUGAAGACGGCCCGCUGGGCAUGUCCUGACGCUGAGGCACGAAAGCGUGGGGAGCAAACAGGAUUAGAAACCCCAGUAGUCC
rnacentral:rRNA from 1 species